GUGGGGAAUCUUAGACAAUGGGGGAAACCCUGAUCUAGCCAUGCCGCGUGAGCGAUGAAGGCCUUAGGGUUGUAAAGCUCUUUCAGCUGGGAAGAUAAUGACGGUACCAGCAGAAGAAGCCCCGGCUAACUCCGUGCCAGCAGCCGCGGUAAUACGGAGGGGGCUAGCGUUGUUCGGAAUUACUGGGCGUAAAGCGCGCGUAGGCGGACCAGUAAGUUGGAGGUGAAAUCCCAGGGCUCAACCUUGGAACUGCCUUCAAAACUCCUGGUCUGGAGUUCGAGAGAGGUGAGUGGAAUUCCGAGUGUAGAGGUGAAAUUCGUAGAUAUUCGGAGGAACACCAGUGGCGAAGGCGGCUCACUGGCUCGAUACUGACGCUGAGGUGCGAAAGCGUGGGGAGCAAACAGGAUUAGAAACCCGUGUAGUCC
rnacentral:rRNA from 1 species